rnacentral:rRNA from 1 species
CGGAAUUACUGGGCGUAAAGGGCUCGUAGGCGGCCAACUAAGUCAGACGUGAAAUCCCUCGGCUUAACCGGGGAACUGCGUCUGAUACUGGAUGGCUUGAAUCCGGGAGAGGGAUGCGGAAUUCCAGGUGUAGCGGUGAAAUGCGUAGAUAUCUGGAGGAACACCGGUGGCGAAGGCGGCAUCCUGGACCGGCAUUGACGCUGAGGAGCGAAAGCCAGGGGAGCAAACGGG